rnacentral:rRNA from 1 species
CCUACGGGGGGCUGCAGUGGGGAAUAUUGGGCAAUGGGCGCAAGCCUGACCCAGCAACGCCGCGUGAAGGAAGAAGGCUUUCGGGUUGUAAACUUCUUUUAAGAGGGAAGAGCAGAAGACGGUACCUCUUGAAUAAGCCACGGCUAACUACGUGCCAGCAGCCGCGGUAAUACGGAGGAUCCGAGCGUUAUCCGGAUUUAUUGGGUUUAAAGGGUGCGUAGGCGGAUCGUUAAGUCAGUGGUCAAAUUGAGGGGCUCAACCCCUUCCCGCCAUUGAAACUGGCGUUCUUGAGUGGAAGAGAAGUAUGCGGAAUGCGUGGUGUAGCGGUGAAAUGCAUAGAUAUCACGCAGAACCCCGAUUGCGAAGGCAGCAUGCCGGCUUCCGACUGACGCUGAAGCACGAAAGCGUGGGGAUCGAACAGGAUUAGAUUCCCCGGUAGUC